GACGAACGCUGGCGGCGUGCUUAACACAUGCAAGUCGAACGGAAAGGCCCUGCUUUUGUGGGGUGCUCGAGUGGCGAACGGGUGAGUAACACGUGAGUAACCUGCCCUUUGACUUUGGGAUAACUUCAGGAAACUGGGGCUAAUACCGGAUAGGAGCUCCUGCUGCUUGUGGGGGGUGGGAAAGUUUCGGGGGUUGGGGAUGGACUCGCGGCUUAUCAGCUUGUGGGUGGGGUAGUGGCUUACCAAGGCUUUGACGGGGAGCCGGCCUGAGAGGGUGACCGGCCACAUUGGGACUGAGAUACGGCCCAGACUCCUACGGGAGGCAGCAGUGGGGAAUAUUGCACAAUGGGCGGAAGCCUGAUGCAGCAACGCCGCGUGCGAGAUGACGGCCUUCGGGUUGUAAACCGCUUUCGCCUGUGACGAAGCGUGAGUGACGGUAAUGGGUAAAGAAGCACCGGCUAACUACGUG
rnacentral:rRNA from 1 species